UACGUAGGGCGCAAGCGUUGUCCGGAAUUAUUGGGCGUAAAGCGCACGCAGGCGGUCUUUUAAGUUUCGAGUGACAGGUGGUGGCUUAACUACCACAGGCCUUGGAAAACUGGAAGACUUGAGGACGAGAGAGGGACGCGGAAUUCCAGGUGGAGCGGUGAAAUGCGUAGAGAUCUGGAAGAACACCAAAGGCGAAGGCAGCGUUCUGGCUCGUAACUGACGCUCAUGUGCGAAAGCCAGGGGAGCGAACGGG
rnacentral:rRNA from 1 species